UACUGUUAAUCUGUUCUACACUGAAGCUAACCCUAGCUGUUCUGCUGCUCCUGGAAUCCAAAACAAUUUAUGAUUCCCAAUUCAGUAGACAUACACAGGCUGAAGUGCAACAGGUUCACUGGACCAUAACAUCAAGUUCUACUUAAUAGCAUCUCCCAAAACUGGAAGAGUGCUAAGUAUCAAGAAUGUCAAGAAUUAUUUGAUCUGGUUUAUGAGGUGUCUUGAAUAUUUUAUGUGAGCCUACUGUGUUCACUCAUAUUGAAUGUUGCCUUCCUCCACCAGGAUCCAAGAAAAUCUAUUUUAUUGCAUUUAAGAUUACUCAGGAAACAGAAAUACUAUACCAUGUGAAUGGAGAUAAAUAUAACCCUUAAUUUGCAAAGAAGAGGAAUAAAGGAAAACAAAAUCUACAUAACAUCAUCUACUGCUGACUGGUGGUUGUGUGUAAUUUUACUUUGAGAGGGUGCUGAUCAGGACGAGUUGAUUCAUCUUAUUUGAACAAGUAUUUGAUGUCUACUCCACAUCCUUCCCACUCAUGCACCACUUCAGUAUGUACUCAGAAGUUUACCUUUAGAGUUGUGGUAACAACGAAUAUGUGUAUUUCUUUACACAAAGUAAGUAAUCCACCCUGAAAUAAAAGAUUUUUUUUCUGUUCAGAGUUUGUAAAGGAAGAGGCUCUCUUCCUCAGAUAGGUUUUCUGCAAGGACAGAUAUCUUUGUUUCCUUUCUUAUCUAUUUGUGAUAACUGAUUAAUAUCCAAUGUAUUUAUUCUUGGAAUAAAAGAUUUUGUAACUGUUCACCAUUCUGAUAGACCACAUGAAAAAAAAAUCAAAUGUAUUCCAAGCAUGCACAAUUACAGACUCAGCUGAACUAUGCCACAAUACAUUUGAAUAUGUUAAUUUCUGUGUUAAAAGGUCUUUUGUCUGUUUUUAUUUUUAACCUACAAAGCAUUUUAAUAAAAUAUAACAGUUGUUGUCAAUGUGCUAUUACCAGUAAAAUGAGGCUUAACGUUUCUACA